ensembl:lncRNA
GGCCUGAACCUGAUGCUGCCACGGAUGAAGCCAGCACCCAGGGGAGAGCAGCAGAGGCGCUCAGAGAGCAGGCCAGGGCCUCAGGAUCAGCCAGCACAGACCACCGGACUGCUGCCUCCAGAAUGCGUCCAUCAGCCACUCCCAGUUGGAGGGGGAUUCCCUCCGUGUGAACAGCCUUCGUGUCCAGGAAGUGGUCCCAGAGGAAGAAGGAAGAGCUAGCCCACCUUGGGCAAAAUUCUCAGGGGCUUAUGAAAAGCAGGUGUCAAAGGGCAAUCCCAGGGAACUUACUCACUGGGCACCGUGACCUCGGAACUGGUUCUGCCGAAUGAGUCCCUGGAGUGAGAAGAAGCCCCUAGCUUCGAUCCAGCAGAGUGCAAGGAGAAGCCGGAUCGGCAAGCUGAAGCGGGAGUGGUGUCGGUGGUGGAGCCCUCCCCCGCUUUAGCUGUUCCCACUAGUGGGACAGUUUGCGCCUCACAGGGAAUUGUUUACCUGGGCAGUUAAAAAGGCAGGAUUGCGUGGUGUCUGUGGGCUGUGGGAGACAGACGGGUCCUUUCUCUGUUGACCCUCGCCACGAUCACUCAGGCUUGAGUCCAGACUCAGUGACCAGGAAGGAAAUGUGGAAAGGAUCAACGGGCCACACGUACCCCAACAACUCCCAGCAGCCAGGUCCCAAUGUGUCCAGGUGGUAGAGACGAGAACCUGCAGCCGAGCAUCAGGGCAGAAGUCCUUGUCUUCCCGUGGACAUUCUCUAGAAGAGAGUAACGCCGAUCUGGGCUGUUGGAGCAGCGUGCACUUAGGAAGCCAGUGGAUCCCAGGCUUUCUCCACGCUUGAGUGGCUUACAAAAUGUGCUUGCCUGAGUCCAAUGCCGGUGUUAGGGAACUGCGGGGGACGGUCAGAGAUGAGAACAGCCAGGCUCGCUCUGAGCUUGUGAGGCACAGCUGGCGAGGGUGGGGGCGUCUCUCCAGCCUGUCGGGCACCAUGAGUGGGCAGGCUGGGCAGAGGCAGGAGACGGACGCACCGGGCCCCCUUCCCUUCCGUGGUUCAUUUUAUCCCCCAACUCUGCGUGGGAACGUGGCUUUAGGAAGAAUAACACCAUCCUCGUCUUCCUGCUCUGGGGAUCUGAGAAUAAGUUAGGAUCUGCAGAGAGGACAGUUACCCAGGAUAACUUUCUGGAAGUGAAUUUGGGUGAAAAGGUAGAAACAUAGAUUUCUAGUGUUCAUGGCCCUUUCUCAGAUUCUCUCUACCCAGUGAGGGCUGCGCGCCAAUGGUGCCUCCCUCCCUGUCGCUCAUCUCCUCUUGCGUCGCAGCAGAGGGUAGGUGGCAGGACUGUUUCUAGGGGAGAAGUCCUUUAUCUGGAAAGAGGGGGUCAGGGAAAGGAGACUGCUGUGUCCCCGACCCCAUGUUACUGUUUUACCUUAAUAAAUAUAUAUAAGG